rnacentral:rRNA from 1 species
UUGGUGGGGUAAUGGCCUACCAAGGCGGCGACGGGUAGCCGGCCUGAGAGGGUGGACGGCCACAUUGGGACUGAGACACGGCCCAGACUCUUACGGGAGGCAGCAGUGGGGAAUAUUGCACAAUGGGCGCAAGCCUGAUGCAGCGACGCCGCGUGGGGGAUGACGGCCUUCGGGUUGUAAACUCCUUUCAACCAUGACGAAGCUUUUGUGACGGUAGUGGUAGAAGAAGCACCGGCUAACUACGUGCCAGCAGCCGCGGUAAUACGUAGGGUGCGAGCGUUGUCCGGAAUUACUGGGCGUAAAGAGCUCGUAGGUGGUUUGUCGCGUCGUCUGUGAAAUUCCGGGGCUCAACUCCGGGCGUGCAGGCGAUACGGGCAUAACUUGAGUGCUGUAGGGGAGACUGGAAUUCCUGGUGUAGCGGUGAAAUGCGCAGAUAUCAGGAGGAACACCGAUGGCGAAGGCAGGUCUCAGGGCAGUAACUGACGCUGAGGAGCGAAAGCAUGGGUAGCGAACAGGAUUAGAUACCCUGGUAGUCCAUGCCGUAAACGGUGGGCGCUAGGUGUGGGGGUCUUCCACGACUUCUGUGCCGUAGCUAACGCAUUAAGCGCCCCGC